GAUGAACGCUAGCUACAGGCUUAACACAUGCAAGUCGAGGGGCAGCAUUAUCGAAGCUUGCUUUGAUAGAUGGCGACCGGCGCACGGGUGAGUAACGCGUAUCCAACCUUCCCCAUAGUCAGGAAUAGCCCGGCGAAAGUCGAAUUAAUGCCUGAUGUUUUCCACGGACGGCAUCUGAUGUGGAACAAAGAUUCAUCGCUAUGGGAUGGGGAUGCGUCUGAUUAGCUUGUUGGCGGGGUAACGGCCCACCAAGGCAACGAUCAGUAGGGGUUCUGAGAGGAAGGUCCCCCCACAUUGGAACUGAGACACGGUCCAAAACUCCUACGGGAGGCAGCAGUGAGGAAUAUUGGGUCAGUGGGCGAGAGCCUGACCAGCCAAGUAGCGUGCAGGAAGACGGCCCUAUGGGUUGUAAACUGCUUUUAUAAGGGAAUAAAGUUAGUCUCGUGAGACUUUUUGCAUGUACCUUA
rnacentral:rRNA from 1 species